rnacentral:ncRNA from 2 species
ACCUGACGCUAGGGGUGUCUGUCGUAAAAAAAUCAGACUGAGAUAGUCCCUUAGAACCUGAGACUGGGUAAUACCAGCGUAGGGAAGCUGUUAAUUAAGGAC